AGCAUCACCACGUUUCAAGUAGUAGCAUGGAAAUUUGAGAGUGCUUUUCUAUAGUGACAGAGGAUGUUUUUCUAUCUCCUGAAAGAAUUAGAAGGAUAGAAGUGACAGAGAGGUUAGAUACAAUGAAAACCUUGGACAAAGGAAGAACAUUUAACUCCAGUGACUAAAUUCCUAAUCUGUGCAGUCUGCUAUAAAGACACUACAAAUAAGAUUUUGAUUACUGAAUCAGCCACAAACCACUACAAUUCAAGCACCACUUGCAGGUAGAAGGAGCAUUGAAAGUUUUUCGAAGAGAAAGAGUCCUGGAGGAGAGAGAAAUUUCUCAACAGCAUGGAAGCCAGAUGAUAUCCGUAUGAACAGAGCAGAAGAAACAGCAUGAGGAAAUGUGAUCGUCAGAUGAGUAUAGAAACAUGGAUAAAAUUCAUACAUGAACUAUCCAUUUGUUUAGUGUUUCUUUCAAGAACUCGAGGGGGGGGAAAGGUGGCUUCAUUACAAGUUCUGUACUCACGAACUGUUCUGAAACUUGUCUUCCAGAACCGAUGUCAAAACUUUUAUUCUGCACGCAAGAUUCAGUGUCCUAUUACAGGGUCUCUCUUUCAACCAUUGACAACAGCACUACAAGCUUGCAUUCUGAAACUUCGUGUGACAAUCCGAGACUGUCAGCUGUAUCUGCAGUACUGGGUCAAAACACAGGCAAGAAGCUGGAGAAGACUCUCACCUAGAAAGUAUGGCUCUCAGAGAAAACCAGUAAAUAAAAUCAGCCUCAAAAGGAUGCAGCACAGCGAUCAGUCUUGAGCUACAGGUCCUCUAUUGUUUUAUGGUGGUAUGUCCAUUUCACACCACGUCUCACUUUGUGAUGUUUAUUAAAGAGCUGUAUCAGUGCUUGUACCCUGCACAUGGAAGCGUUCUUUGUUUUUAACUCAAACUUGCUGCCUAGAACCGCAACACCCAGCUUUCCAAUGGGGUUUUCCUCAACUGGAAGCGCAUUAAGCCCAAGCUUUUU